rnacentral:rRNA from 1 species
AGAGUUUGAUCCUGGCUUAGGAUGAACGCUGGCGGCGUGCCUAACACAUGCAAGUCGAACGGUGAUGACUGAUAGUUUCGGAUGGAUUCAUCGAUAGGUGGCGGACGGGUGAGUAACGCGUGGAUAACCUGCCUCGUACUGGGGGAAUAGCAGCUGGAAACGGCUGGUAAUACCGCAUAAGCGCACGGACCCGCAUGAGUCUGUGUGAAAAGAUUUAUCGGUACGAGAUGGAUCCGCGUCUGAUUAGCCAGUUGGCGGGGUAACGGCCCACCAAAGCGACGAUCAGUAGCCGGCCUGAGAGGGUGAACGGCCACAUUGGGACUGAGACACGGCCCAGACUCCUACGGGAGGCAGCAGUGGGGAAUAUUGGGCAAUGGGCGAAAGCCUCGACCCAGCAACGCCGCGUGAAGGAAGAAGGUCUUCGGAUUGUAAACUUCUUUUAUGAGGGACGAAGGACGUGACGGUACCUCAUGAAUAAGCCACGGCUAACUACGUGCCAGCCGCCGC